AUGAACGCUGGCGGCGUGCCUAAUACCUGCAAGUCGAGCGAACAGACGAGGAGCUUGCUCCUCUGACGUUAGCGGCGGACGGGUGAGUAACACGUGGAUAACCUACCUAUAAGACUGGGAUAACUUCGGGAAACCGGAGCUAAUACCGGAUAAUAUAUUGAACCGCCUGGUUCAAUAGUGAAAGACGGUUUUGCUGUCACUUAUAGAUGGAUCCGCGCCGCAUUAGCUAGUUGGUAAGGUAACGGCUUACCAAGGCAACGAUGCGUAGCCGACCUGAGAGGGUGAUCGGCCACACUGGAACUGAGGCACGGUCCAGACUCCUACGGGAGGCAGCAGUAGGGAAUCUUCCGCAAUGGGCGAAAGCCUGACGGAGCAACGCCGCGUGAGUGAUGAAGGUCUUCGGAUCGUAAAACUCUGUUAUUAGGGAAGAACAAAUGUGUAAGUAACUAUGCACGUCUUGACGGUACCUAAUCAGAAAGCCACGGCUAACUACGUG
rnacentral:rRNA from 1 species